rnacentral:rRNA from 1 species
UACGUAGGCAGCGAGCGUUGUUCGGAAUUACUGGGCGUAAAGAGCGCGUAGGCGGCACGGUACGACCGGUGUGAAAGCCCCCGGCUCAACUGGGGAGGGUCACCGGUAACGGCCGAGCUAUGAGUGCAGGAGAGGGAAGUGGAACUCCGGGAGUAGCGGUGAAAUGCGUAGAGACCCGGAGGAACACCAGUGGCGAAGGCGGCUUCCUGGUCUGCAACUGACGCUGUGGCGCGAAAGCUAGGGGAGCAAACGGG